rnacentral:rRNA from 1 species
AUUGAACGCUGGCGGCAUGCUUUACACAUGCCAGUCGAACGGCAGCGCGGGCUUCGGCCUGGCGGCGAGUGGCGAACGGGUGAGUAAUGCAUCGGAACGUGCCCAGUAGUGGGGGAUAGCCCGGCGAAAGCCGGAUUAAUACCGCAUACGACCUGAGGGUGAAAGCGGGGGACCGAAAGGCCUCGCGCUCUUGGAGCGGCCGAUGUCGGAUUAGCUAGUUGGUGGGGUAAAGGCUUACCAAGGCGACGAUCCGUAGCUGGUCUGAGAGGACGACCAGCCACACUGGGACUGAGACACGGCCCAGACUCCUACGGGAGGCAGCAGUGGGGAAUUUUGGACAAUGGGGGCAAGCCUGAUCCAGCCAUACCGCGUGCGGGAAGAAGGCCUUCGGGUUGUAAACCGCUUUUGUUCGGGAAGAAAUCCUCUGGGCUAAUACCCCGGGGGGAUGACGGUACCGGAAGAAUAAGCACCGGCUAACUACGUG